UACGGGGGGGGCAAGCGUUGUUCGGAAUUACUGGGCGUAAAGGGCUCGUAGGCGGCCAACUAAGUCAGACGUGAAAUCCCUCGGCUUAACCGGGGAACUGCGUCUGAUACUGGAUGGCUUGAGUCCGGGAGAGGGAUGCGGAAUUCCAGGUGUAGCGGUGAAAUGCGUAGAUAUCUGGAGGAACACCGGUGGCGAAGGCGGCAUCCUGGACCGGCACUGACGCUGAUGAGCGACAGCCAGGGGAGCAAACGGG
rnacentral:rRNA from 1 species